rnacentral:tRNA from 1 species
GCCCAUGUAGUAUAGUGGUUACUAACCACUGGUUAGUACUCCACGUUGUGGCCGUGGCGACGCUGGUUCGAUUCCAGCCAUGGGCA